rnacentral:rRNA from 1 species
GAGGAAUAUUGGACAAUGGGCGCAAGCCUGAUCCAGCCAUGCCGCGUGCAGGAAGACGCAUCUAUGGUGUGUAAACUGCUUUUGUACGGGAAGAAACACUCUCUCGUGAGGGAGCUUGACGGUACCGUAAGAAUAAGGAUCGGCUAACUCCGUGCCAGCAGCCGCGGUAAUACGGAGGAUCCAAGCGUUAUCCGGAAUCAUUGGGUUUAAAGGGUCCGUAGGCGGUUUAAUAAGUCAGUGGUGAAAGCCCAUCGCUCAACGAUGGAACGGCCAUUGAUACUGUUAGACUUGAAUUACAAGGAAGUAACUAGAAUAUGUAGUGUAGCGGUGAAAUGCUUAGAUAUUACAUGGAAUACCAAUUGCGAAGGCAGGUUACUACUUGUGGAUUGACGCUGAUGGACGAAAGCGUGGGGAGCGAAC